GAGAGAGGGGAAAGAGAGAUAGGAAGAAAAAGUAGGAGAGAAUGGGUGAUUUUGGGUAGUUAGUGAAUUUGUAUUCUUUUUUUGGUUAUUUGGCCUAAGUUCUCUAAAAGUAAUGUAUCAGAUAGCUUACCUUCUGCAGCUUUUUUCCCCUGAGGCGCCUACGUUACGUUGAAUUUGAGUACGUUUCUAUUGAUUUUAGGUGUUGAAUCUUAGUUUGGUCGGUUUGGAUAAGGAAAAAAAAAAAAAAAAUUCUAUUGCGGGUUAUUUAAACACGUUUUAUUGAUUAGAAGAGAGUUAGAUUACAAUGCGUAUGAAAAAGAGGGAAAUAAGCUGGCACUCGUCUGAGUAAGCCGGAAAGUACAAGUCGGCGAGAAAGAAUUAACACUAAAUAAAAUCCUAAUUUAUAGCCGCCAGUCUUUGUGUUCAAGUCUAGAUCCGCUUCCUGGUCUCUCUUGUCCUCUUUUUAUACAUAAACCUCUUCCUCUCUUUGUCCUAAUUCGGUUUAUCCUAAUGAGAUGGGACAAGCUUAACAGGCCGAUCAACUGUGCCGAGUCAUCGGGCUAUCAAGUCGUGUGUCGAGUUCGUGGUGUCGAGUUAAGUCAAGCUAUCGGACCUAGAUGGUGCCGAAUAACGCUGAGUUGAGCCAACUUCGUGGACCAAAUUUUUUAUUCGAUGGACCCUGUGGAGGGAUGCAAUCCAUCUCUAACAUUAGGGAGUGUGUCUAGUGAGUUUGAGUAUAAGAAUGUGUGCUUGGUGAAUUUGAAUAUGUUUGUAUUGAAAAAUAGGGAAUGUAUUUUAGCCUUCCUACACCUGAAGAUCCUUCAUUAUUGUCUUUCAAAUGCAGUUUGAUGCU
rnacentral:lncRNA from 1 species